rnacentral:rRNA from 1 species
GGAGCUUGCUCCCUGAUGUUAGCGGCGGACGGGUGAGUAACACGUGGGUAACCUGCCUGUAAGACUGGGAUAACUCCGGGAAACCGGGGCUAAUACCGGAUGCUUGUUUGAACCGCAUGGUUCAAACAUAAAAGGUGGCUUCGGCUACCACUUACAGAUGGACCCGCGGCGCAUUAGCUAGUUGGUGAGGUAACGGCUCACCAAGGCAACGAUGCGUAGCCGACCUGAGAGGGUGAUCGGCCACACUGGGACUGAGACACGGCCCAGACUCCUACGGGAGGCAGCAGUAGGGAAUCUUCCGCAAUGGACGAAAGUCUGACGGAGCAACGCCGCGUGAGUGAUGAAGGUUUUCGGAUCGUAAAGCUCUGUUGUUAGGGAAGAACAAGUACCGUUCGAAUAGGGCGGUACCUUGACGGUACCUAACCAGAAAGCCACGGCUAACUACGUGCCAGCAGCCGCGGUAAUACGUAGGUGGCAAGCGUUGUCCGGAAUUAUUGGGCGUAAAGGGCUCGCAGGCGGUUUCUUAAGUCUGAUGUGAAAGCCCCCGGCUCAACCGGGGAGGGUCAUUGGAAACUGGGGAACUUGAGUGCAGAAGAGGAGAGUGGAAUUCCACGUGUAGCGGUGAAAUGCGUAGAGAUGUGGAGGAACACCAGUGGCGAAGGCGACUCUCUGGUCUGUAACUGACGCUGAGGAGCG